UACGUAGGGUGCGAGCGUUGCCCGGAAUUACUGGGCGUAAAGCGCACGUAGGCGGCUUUCUAAGUCGGGGGUGAAAUCCUGGAGCUCAACUCCAGAACUGCCUUCGAUACUGGAGAGCUUGAGUCCGGGAGAGGUGAGUGGAACUGCGAGUGUAGAGGUGAAAUUCGUAGAUAUUCGCAAGAACACCAGUGGCGAAGGCGGCUCACUGGCCCGGUACUGACGCUGAGGUGCGAAAGCGUGGGGAGCAAACAGG
rnacentral:rRNA from 1 species